ACGGAAGGCAGCAGUGGGGUAUAUUGGACAAUGGGGGCAACCCUGAUCCAGCGACGCCGCGUGAGUGAAGAAGUAUUUCGGUAUGUAAAGCUCUAUCAGCAGGGAAGAAAAAGCGCAAGCAUUGACUGUACCUGACUAAGAAGCCCCGGCUAAAUACGUGCCAGCAGCCGCGGUAAUACGUAUGGUGCAAGCGUUAUCCGGAUUUACUGGGUGUAAAGGGAGCGUAGGCGGUCUGGCAAGUCUGAUGUGAAAACCCGGGGCUUAACCUCGGGAUUGCAUUGGAAACUGUCGGACUUGAGUGUCGGAGAGGAAAGCGGAAUUCCUAGUGUAGCGGUGAAAUGCGUAGAUAUUAGGAGGAACACCAGUGGCGAAGGCGGCUUUCUGGACGAUAACUGACGCUGAGGCUCGAAAGCGUGGGGAGCAAACAGGAUUAGAUACCCUGGUA
rnacentral:rRNA from 1 species